GACAUUAGACGAAUCAUCUGGAAAGAUGAAUCAAAGAAGGUAAUAAUCCUGUAGUCGAAAAUGUUGUCUCUCUUGAGUGGAUCCUGAGUACGACGGAGCACGUGAAAUUCCGUCGGAAUCUGGGAGGACCAUCUCCUAAGGCUAAAUACUCUCUAGUGACCGAUAGUGAACCAGUACCGUGAGGGAAAGGUGAAAAGCACCCCGGAAGGGGAGUGAAAUAGAACCUGAAACCGUGUGCUUACAAGUAGUCAGAGCCCGUUAAUGGGUGAUGGCGUGCCUUUUGUAGAAUGAACCGGCGAGUUACGAUUUGAUGCAAGGUUAAGCAGUAAAUGUGGAGCCGUAGCGAAAGCGAGUCUGAAUAGGGCGUUUAGUAUUUGGUCGUAGACCCGAAACCAGGUGAUCUACCCUUGGUCAGGUUGAAGUUCAGGUAACACUGAAUGGAGGACCGAACCGACUUACGUUGAAAAGUGAGCGGAUGAACUGAGGGUAGCGGAGAAAUUCCAAUCGAACCUGGAGAUAGCUGGUUCUCUCCGAAAUAGCUUUAGGGCUAGCCUCAAGUGAUGAUUAUUGGAGGUAGAGCACUGUUUGGACGAGGGGCCCCUCUCGGGUUACCGAAUUCAGACAAACUCCGAAUGCCAAUUAAUUUAACUUGGGAGUCAGAACAUGGGUGAUAAGGUCCGUGUUCGAAAGGGAAACAGCCCAGACCACCAGCUAAGGUCCCAAAAUAUAUGUUAAGUGGAAAAGGAUGUGGCGUUGCCCAGACAACUAGGAUGUUGGCUUAGAAGCAGCCAUCAUUUAAAGAGUGCGUAAUAGCUCACUAGUCGAGUGACACUGCGCCGAAAAUGUACCGGGGCUAAACAUAUUACCGAAGCUGUGGAUUGUCCUUUGGACAAUGGUAGGAGAGCGUUCUAAGGGCGUUGAAGCAUGAUCGUAAGGACAUGUGGAGCGCUUAGAAGUGAGAAUGCCGGUGUGAGUAGCGAAAGACGGGUGAGAAUCCCGUCCACCGAUUGACUAAGGUUUCCAGAGGAAGGCUCGUCCGCUCUGGGUUAGUCGGGUCCUAAGCUGAGGCCGACAGGCGUAGGCGAUGGAUAACAGGUUGAUAUUCCUGUACCACCUAUAAUCGUUUUAAUCGAUGGGGGGACGCAGUAGGAUAGGCGAAGCGUGCGAUUGGAUUGCACGUCUAAGCAGUAAGGCUGAGUAUUAGGCAAAUCCGGUACUCAUUAAGGCUGAGCUGUGAUGGGGAGAAGACAUUGUGUCUUCGAGUCGUUGAUUUCACACUGCCGAGAAAAGCCUCUAGAUAGAAAAUAGGUGCCCGUACCGCAAACCGACACAGGUAGUCAAGAUGAGAAUUCUAAGGUGAGCGAGCGAACUCUCGUUAAGGAACUCGGCAAAAUGACCCCGUAACUUCGGGAGAAGGGGUGCUCUUUAGGGUUAACGCCCAGAAGAGCCGCAGUGAAUAGGCCCAAGCGACUGUUUAUCAAAAACACAGGUCUCUGCUAAACCGUAAGGUGAUGUAUAGGGGCUGACGCCUGCCCGGUGCUGGAAGGUUAAGAGGAGUGGUUAGCUUCUGCGAAGCUACGAAUCGAAGCCCCAGUAAACGGCGGCCGUAACUAUAACGGUCCUAAGGUAGCGAAAUUCCUUGUCGGGUAAGUUCCGACCCGCACGAAAGGCGUAACGAUUUGGGCACUGUCUCAACGAGAGACUCGGUGAAAUCAUAGUACCUGUGAAGAUGCAGGUUACCCGCGACAGGACGGAAAGACCCCGUGGAGCUUUACUGUAGCCUGAUAUUGAAAUUCGGCACAGCUUGUACAGGAUAGGUAGGAGCCUUUGAAACGUGAGCGCUAGCUUACGUGGAGGCGCUGGUGGGAUACUACCCUAGCUGUGUUGGCUUUCUAACCCGCACCACUUAUCGUGGUGGGAGACAGUGUCAGGCGGGCAGUUUGACUGGGGCGGUCGCCUCCUAAAAGGUAACGGAGGCGCUCAAAGGUUCCCUCAGAAUGGUUGGAAAUCAUUCAUAGAGUGUAAAGGCAUAAGGGAGCUUGACUGCGAGACCUACAAGUCGAGCAGGGUCGAAAGACGGACUUAGUGAUCCGGUGGUUCCGCAUGGAAGGGCCAUCGCUCAACGGAUAAAAGCUACCCCGGGGAUAACAGGCUUAUCUCCCCCAAGAGUUCACAUCGACGGGGAGGUUUGGCACCUCGAUGUCGGCUCAUCGCAUCCUGGGGCUGUAGUCGGUCCCAAGGGUUGGGCUGUUCGCCCAUUAAAGCGGUACGCGAGCUGGGUUCAGAACGUCGUGAGACAGUUCGGUCCCUAUCCGUCGUGGGCGUAGGAAAUUUGAGAGGAGCUGUCCUUAGUACGAGAGGACCGGGAUGGACAUACCUCUGGUGUACCAGUUGUCGUGCCAACGGCAUAGCUGGGUAGCUAUGUGUGGACGGGAUAAGUGCUGAAAGCAUCUAAGCAUGAAGCCCCCCUCAAGAUGAGAUUUCCCAACUUCGGUUAUAAGAUCCCUCAAAGAUGAUGAGGUUAAUAGGUUCGAGGUGGAAGCAUGGUGACAUGUGGAGCUGACGAAUACUAAUCGAUCGAAGACUUAAUCAAA
rnacentral:rRNA from 1 species